rnacentral:lncRNA from 1 species
UCUCCUUCCUCAUACCAUCUCUGUAUCCUCGCCGGAACCACCGCCGCCGGCAAACAUCACUUUCCCCAAUCAACCCUAAAAUAACACCAUAGCUCCCUCUCCUGCUCCUCUACUCAAAUCCGUUGUCUGUUUCUUUUUAAUCUCACCAGAGCUCGUCCAAUGCCCAUUUUAAGUUUUCUGGCUACGACGACACUUAUCCCAAAUUAACCCAAAUUCACGCCAUAGGUUCUCCUUACCAUUAUCUGCCCAAAUCUCCAAAUAGUUUUCUUCAAAUCAUCGUCAGGCAUCUCGAAUUUCAAGUUUAAAUUGGCUGAAAAACCCCAAAUUAUUGAAAAACGGCCAAGUAAAGUACUACAUGGCUCUCUCACCCUUCUAGUAAAAGAAGUUCACCACUAGCAAAGGUAAAAUCACCCAAAACUCUUUGAAUUCAGAAAUCGUCGAAGCUGUUUCACUGAGUCCUGAAUCAUGUUGUUUUUUCUGUUUAAGCCUUUUCUCUUUGUUUCAUGUUCAUGUUCGUUAAUAGCUGGUUAAUUUCCAUUACUAGUUUUGAUUAGGGUUGCUUUCAUUUUUUAGCAGAAUCUAUUAGUUAGUUCUUGUUUGUUUUAUCCUAAUUUUAAUUUGAUUAUUAGGUAUAAUUCAUGCCAUGUUGGUCCUAUAUUAGUUUGGUUCAGUGAAAUGGUGUUUUAGGUUUCAAUUUAGUCCUUGCUUUGUUAAUUUUUCUUCAUCAAUUUCAUUUAAGUAAGGUUGACUUCAACUUGAUAAUUAGUGUUAAUUAGUUUGGCAGUUAGUCACUAUAGUUUAAAGGAUUUCAGGAUUGUUUUGGGUUUUUGACGUGGGAUGGGAUACUACAGAAUGCCCUAAAACAUUCUAGGAUAUGAUCUUAGUGUCUACUUCAAAAAUUUGAAAGUGGUGACUUGAGACAUAAUUCAAAAAAUAAAAGGUCUAAAUAGAAAUAAAGUGGGGGACUACUUGGAAAUUAUAAAAUGGAGACCUCCUUGGCUAUGCCUAUAAAAUGCAACCCAAUGCCUUGUAUAAGGGGUCUUCUUUUCAGCCAAAAAAGAAUCCCAUCCAAUAGCAUUUUCUUUCCAGUUUCAGAUCCAAUUUUAAAAUUCAAAAGUGAAAAAUUCAAAAGAAAGCAGUAGAAAAAAGCAAAUAAAAAAAUAUUGGAGAAAUAAAAAAUAUAAUGUUAUAUGUUUUAGGCCAAAAUUAUUCAGUUCUAGUUUCUUCUGUUUGUUGAGGCCCCUUGAAGUGUGUUGGCUGGUUUUCGAAUGAUUUCUGGUGUUACUCCUUGAUUUCGAGUUAAUAUAGUAGAUCAGAUUGUAUUUGAUCAUUUUCUGGGUCAUCUGAUUGGGAUUUUGAGUUUCUGUGGGUGUUCAUGUUGAGUUUUCCAAUUGUUCUGGAAUCUACUAGUUAUGAAAUCGUCCGUGGGCUGUUGAUUUGUUUUUCUAAGCUGUGCUAAGCAUCAGUGAACUUCUGCUGCUAUGCUUGUUAACUGCUGGUUACUAGUUGCUGAUCCUUUCUUCUCCUACUAAAAAUUCUAUUUCCAGGUACUCAUUUCAGCUUUGAACAUUGUGUGAAAUGUCUAGAUAAGUGUAGUAUGAUUUGAAGGGAAAUCGGAGUGCAAAACAAUUUUUUCUUCUGGCCUUAUCUCGCAUGCAUCUAUAUGAAUUAAUCUGUAUUCAGUAGCUAAAUGCUGUAAUUCAUUAAGGAUGGUGGGAUUAUGGACUGUUAAAUUUUAGAGUUCAGUUCACUUCGUAUGAAUCAGUAGCUCCAAUGUAUAUGGUUGAAUUUCUAUGAUGACUGUAGUUAAUUCCUAGUGUUUGAUUCAUAUAUUUGUUAAGCACUAAUUGUAGUUGAUUUCAUGCCAAAUCAAUAGAAUAGCUCGUGAUUAGUUAGCUCUUGUCAGAAGCAUGUUGAUUAGGAGGUAUUGUGUAUUACAUGUGUGGGCACAUUUAAAUUUGUUAGUUUAGGUGUUGGAGUUAAAUUGGAG